GCUUUAAAAAUUUCCCAUACCAUUCCAUCGUUGCCGCGUGAAUCGUACUCGGCGCAUUUUCCGUGUCUCAUCGAGCGUUUGUUCGGUCAAAAGGCGAAGUCGCGGUUCUUAUUUCGCCGAUCGAAACCCGAUCUGGUUUCAGGGAUCGUUAAUUGCAGGUUCUGUUGAAUCUAUUUCGUCGGAGGUUUCGGCGGCGCCGGUGAUGAUCGUGCGUGGUUUUCCUGCGGUGGAUGUUGAUGGUCUCGUGUCGAAAGACGCGAAACAGAGUAAUUAAACGCGCGAUUCGUUGUGUAAUUUAGAAUAUAUUGGUAAAGUCCUUUAGGAGUUUGUAUUAGAUCUGGUUGGUUGAAAGGGGAGUUUAUUUAUAUACACCAAGAAUCCAAGAUAGAUAGUUGUUCUUUUCAUUGUUCUUGUUAAUGGACCUUUGCCAUGUCAGGUGCGCUUGCAUGGCGGGUCCGAAAAGCGUUAAUAAAAUCAUUAUUGUUUUUUGUUUGGGGGAGAGAAGGUUUCGGGGGCUGUUUUUUGUAUUUUGCCCCGAUUCUCUUCUCUCUCCCUCUGGUGUUGUGUUUUCUCCUUUCCCUUUCUCUCUUCUCUGUCCUUUGAGUUUUUCUAUACUCUAGUUCGCGUCGCCCAAGGCUCAACAGCAUGACAAACGAUUGACAACUCGGCAAGGUACAUAGUGCUGAACGCACGCUUUAAUUUAUUUUAAUUUCGUUGUUUAUACUUACCGUAUUCAAUUUUACAAUAUAUAAAUUAACAUGAUGACUCGCAUGUAAUAAGUUUAUAGUCUGGUAAUUAAAGCAAAAGGCAAUCGAUACAAUUUACUUCAUAUUUAGGUAUUUGUUCAUAGUAUAUUUUUAUUUUAUGGUUUUAGUAAACAAAUGGUUUAUUUGCUCGUAUGUAUAUUGUCAUGUUGUUUAAUAUUUUUGUGAUUAGAAUUGAAUUGAAAGUCUUACAAUUAAUUGACUAUACAAUCAAUUUCCUUCAGAAGAGAUCAAUGUAGAUUACUACUAGCUGUAUAAUAUAUAUAAACUAUGACGUGUUUAUUUUCAUGAUUAGGAUUGAAUUCAAAGUUUCGUACAAUUAAAUGACUCGUUCAAUGUUGGUAAUCGGUAUACAAUCUACUUCAAAAGACAUUUGCCUGGCAGUACAGUGCUUUAUGUUCACUAUAAUUUGAUUAAUUAAAAAUUAACUAUUUAUCGUCGUCAUUGAGAAUAGCAAUAAUUUUUAAUAUUGGCUUUGAGUUUUUAACUUGUUCAAUAACUGAAUUAAAGUGGUUUUGGAUCAUCUAAAAAUUUCUAACCUAUGGAUAAUUUACGAUGAAAAAUGUGUAAGUGCUUAGUUUGCCUACUUCAACCAGAUGCAUCUAAUCCCAUGUUCCAAUAUCUUAAGUUGUAAGUUUAUUAUUUAUGUUCAGCGUAUAUUUACUAUAUAUCAGCUUAUAUCCUUAUUGUUUUUAAUCGGAUGUAGGAUUGUGCCUGUAUUAUGAUAACCUUUUAGGGUUGGUUGAUGUUUUGCUGCCAUUUUAAUGUUGCACUUGUACUUGGGUCUUUUGGGGAUACAUGGGAGUUUGAUGUAUCAUGUAAAAAAUUGGCCAUGGGUAGCUUAUGUGGCAAUGAGUACAGAUGGCUGUAAAUAACUGCAUCUAGUGUAGCUUCAAGGUUCCUUGCAGUCUUCUGUUUUGGAUCAUAACCAAAUUUUUUGGUUUAUAACUUUUGUUGAGAUUUUCAGCUUUUAACUUUGGUUUAUAGGUUUUUGGUAAACUUGUUAGUUUUCAUCUAGUUUUGUCAAACUAGGACUUACCUUAAAAUAUAACUAAUUCAAGGAUACGCUGAAUUUUUUAUUUAUUUGGAAAUUAUUUUGUUCUUAUUUUAAAUUAUAGCUAAUUUCGCCAAAUAUACCGUUCUUAAGUUUACAUCUAGCUUUAUAAGCUUAGUUUUGUCUAACUCAAUAUAAUGGAUUCACAAGCUCGAAUUGGAAUGAGCGCCCAACUGCUUUUGCGUUUGGGAGGUUGGUGGUUCGAUUCCACCUGGAUCCGCCUUCACAUUAAAAAUGAAGUUUUGGUCACGGGAAAGUUUAAGAAACCGCGAACCCUAUGGCCAUCUCGUGAGAAGAUACUCAGCAAUUCUGAGCACUGGAUUUAAAGUCUUACAAUCUAGCUCUGCUUCAUUGGUUGAGAAUUGCGAUUCCCUCUCGACAGUGAAGCAGCUAACUGAAGAUUUUCUUUCCUCCCAUCAAGUAUCUUCAAGUUCAAGGCCAGAAAAGAAGGUUUGGUGAGGGCAAAAUCGAAUCAUACAUAUCGAUAUGAAAAAAUAAGAGUAAAUUUUACAGCUUCAUAAAUUGUAUGCUAAUUUGGUUCCAUAUAUGACAUAAGGGCGGCAGAUUUUAAUAUGUAUGAUCGGCGAGAAGUGUAUUCUUUUUCUUCUUUUUGGUUAUCAAUAUCAAUUCGCUGUAGAAUCCGUGAUGUUCUAGUCAAGUUUAUUAAUAUUGUGGGGCCAGUUGGACUAUGGACAUUUUUUUUUUCUUUC